CUUCCAUGUGGGACACGAGCCUUCAAUGCCUGAUAAAGCCUGAAAGCCACAAUCUGCCCUGGAAACCCAGCUCCACCCUGCUUCCACUACAUCAGGAGGUGAAGGAGGAAAUUGAAAGUGUGAAACACCAGUGGGAGGAAAAGGUUCCUGUAACAAAUGUGGUUAUCAAUGGGAAAGAAGCUUUCUAGAGCUUAUAUACGGGGCCGAGUCAUGCACACUUCAUCAUACUCACCAGGGGACGACCCAGACCAUCAUUCUUCUCUGGUCUGCCACCUUCAUCCUCCACUUGCAGCCUCCUUUGCAGUGACCAUACAGGUGCAGAGCAUGAGCAGGAUGCACAGGGGUUUAUGUGGUCAGGCCUGCCUGGAGUUGGCACAUAGCAUUUCUGCUUCCAUUCUUAGGUCUGAAAUCCAGGUCACAGAGCCCUAACAUAACUACAAAGGAUCCUGAAAAGUGUUGUAUUCCAGUGUGCCUCGGA
rnacentral:lncRNA from 1 species